UACUGGCUGUGGCACACCUCGCUUGUCUC
rnacentral:sRNA from 1 species